CCUCUCUGCCACGGCCAUACCCCUCGUAUGACGCAUACGGUCCAGAGACAACUGGAAUACCAAGCCAUAACCAAGUUCAUUAACCUUUCCCUCCGGCUCCACAUGCCCAGUAGGGGGAACAAGAAAACAAACCGACAAAUAACUCUUGGGAGUCCACAGCCAACGACCUCCUAACACCAAAUCAUCUCCACUUAACACUGGCAAAAACAAUUAUGGAUUAAAGAUCCAGCAUCUAUCCUACGAACCCCACGUAACACGAAAGCUAUGUACAAUGGAAGAAACUCAAGGAGAUGCCUGCCUUGUGACAUCGCAGUUACAUUCUGGGAGAUCUGAGUCCACACAGCCGUCCUCUGCCAUCCUCAGGGCACACAGAUCUUCCACCACCACCAUGAAGCUUCCAACUUGCAAAAGUUAGGUCUGCAGAGCAAAAGGCUAAAUCCUGCGUGGGGAUGAAAGCUUCCCCUCGUCUGCGUAUGGAAGUAUGAAAAUGCUCACUCUAAACAAAUGUUGGUAGGUCUCUGCCUGAUAAUAUGACACUGAGCAGUGACAAGUGGUCAUGUUUCUAAAUAAAACCUACAUUCAUUAACAUGUGCCAGGCCUGAUCUCCUGGAAUGUAGGCCACGAGUGUAAGAAGGGGAAAAGGCUCAGUGUAAUCUGCAAAGGAGGGGGAGGCUUUCUAAAGAAAGAAGGAUAUCAAAAAUAAGGCUGGCCUGCAGACACUGCCAUUCUGGAAGAACAGUCAACUCUUCUUGUGGGCUGUUUGCUAAGUUGGAAAGGAUAUUCGAAAAAGAUAAAUCGCCCAAAUGCAAACAAACAAAACCUCCACAAGUGCAGCCCAUUGUAGUAGCAAAAAAGAGCAACUUCUUUUUGUCUGCUGUUUGAAAUGCGAGCUACCUGGUGAAAGCUAUGCACCUGAAAAUAUAAUCUUCAGAAAUAACCUCUCCAUUCCCACAAGAACACCAAAACAGCACAGAAAUAUCAAAAGGCUCAACUAAGUUGUGUUCUGCAUUAAUGAAUCAGUGUGGAAGGAAAACAAAGUUGGAAGAGGGAAGAGUGGUGAAUGAGACUGAACCAUAGAAACUUGAUAUUUGAGCGGGUAGGUCAUAGUUGAAGAUGGGUGUGGGGAACGGUCAGCUGGUCUGUGUACUCCCGAGGCUCUGAUAAACAAGGAAAUGGAAAGUAAAUGUGACAGCCAAGUGUCAUUUAGGAGAGGCUUCAAGGAGACUAUGAAUCCAGUGUGGCACUAAACUCUAGAGCAAAUGAAUGGUGAGCACAUCAGCUGGUACACGUCAGAAGAAGGCGAAAAGAAAUGGACAGCAUAUCGAUAGAAUCUCCUGUAGGAACUGCAUCUGUGUAUGACAAAAAUACCCUCCAUGGAUACUAGCCAGCAGUUCUACUUCCUUCCUCAUAGAAGGUUAAAUACCCAUGAAGCUCUGAAAUACAGAAUCUUCCUUUUGAGAAUGGGUUUUGUUUUGAUAUGACUUUAAGCUAAGUGGCAACACCACUGAAUUUAUUACAUACGAAGGAGAAUUUCAAAGUUCAUGAAAGUGACAUUUAUGAGAAAAGCCUAAAAACGGUGGGGAGAAAGAACACAGAGGAAGAUUCACUGUAAUGAAAGGUGGACCAAAUGCUUUAAAAUUCUGCAUACACAUGUCCUAUUGACCAGAAUCCUUUGUACC